GAUGAACGCUGGCGGCGUGCCUAAUACAUGCAAGUCGAGCGAACAGACGAGGAGCUUGCUCCUCUGACGUUAGCGGCGGACGGGUGAGUAACACGUGGAUAACCUACCUAUAAGACUGGGAUAACUUCGGGAAACCGGAGCUAAUACCGGAUAAUAUAUUGAACCGCAUGGUUCAAUAGUGAAAGACGGUUUUGCUGUCACUUAUAGAUGGAUCGGCGCCGCAUUAGCUAGUUGGGAAGGUAACGGCUUACCAAGGCAACGAUGCGUAGCCGACCUGAGAGGGUGAUCGGCCACACUGGAACUGAGACACGGUCCAGACUCCUACGGGAGGCAGCAGUAGGGAAUCUUCCGCAAUGGGCGAAAGCCUGACGGAGCAACGCCGCGUGAGUGAUGAAGGUCUUCGGAUCGUAAAACUCUGUUAUUAGGGAAGAACAAAUGUGUAAGUAACUAUGCACGUCUUGACGGUACCUAAUCAGAAAGCCACGGCUAACUACGUG
rnacentral:rRNA from 1 species